UUUUUAAUAGAGGUUAGAGGUCGAACCCGCCCCAUUUCCUGAUUGGUCAGGUUGCCUGUCACGCCCCUCAUUUAGAUGGGGAACAAUCAUCUCCAGCCCCGCCCCUUGUUUGUUAUUGGUCCUUGAACGCCAUAACACAGGCGGGCUGAGAUUGGAGCAUGCGUGUCGCACGUGAGGGUCGUGAUGAAUUGUUUGUAUGGCGUGUCCACAAACGCCUCUAAGCUGAAUGGCCUGAGUAGUUGGAGUCAUGGAGACCCACAGCAUGGAGACAGGUGUUUUGGCCCAAACUGGUCUAUGCCAACCGAAAUGUCCAUCCAUGCUAACCCCAUUUCUCUGUGCUUGGCCCAUAUCCUUCUAAAACGUUCCUAUCCAUGUAUUUGUUGCUUGGCUUGUUUGGGCCCAACGCCUUCUGGAAAGUACUAUUCCAGGAGAGGAGAGAAGAACAGACGGUCACAUACGUGCUGAUCAAGGGACACAGAGUGACCGAAGGAUUGUUUGGAUUUCCAACAGGCAUCAGUUCAGCUGUCGUGAAAACACAUUUUGUUGUUUACUCUGAACAGUAAAGAUUUCUCCAGAGUUCCUGAAUCAGCUAAGCAAUUAACAAGCAUCGGGCCUCGUGGCUUCCGAACUCCCAGCUUCAACCUCCCGGCCUUGGAUCUUGUGGCCUCCGACCCACAGCCUCGGAAAUCUCAGCCUCAGCACAGACCCGACAAGGCAUCCUCUCGGCCUGUUAAUGCAGUCUGCUGGCCCAGCAUGGCUUUGGCAUGGACUUCUGUCUUGAGGUGAUUCCAGAGCAUUCUCCUGGUCUUGUGAACCCUAAGUUGAAGCUAGGUGUUGUCCGGAGUCAAGGCCCGGUGCAGACUGGAGGCUGAAUGCCAGCAUGGACUGCAUCGGAAGACUGUUCUGAACUUUUUUUAUUCUCCUUUUUAUAAUUUAUUCCUAAAAUCUGCAGUGCUGGACUGUUUUUUAACCUCUAUUCUUCUAAAGAACUGUAACUGAAAAAGCUAUACUUGGGGACCUUUGUACUUAAGAUGGUGCUGUAAGUGACGACUUAUACACUUAAGGGUCGCCAGACCCAAAACAUUAACUCUGAUUUCUCUUCACAGAUAUUGCCAGACUUGCUGAGCCUUUCUGGCAACUUCUGUUUUUUUGUUUCUGAUUUACAGCAUCUGCAAUUCUUUUGGCUUUUAUUUAGUAUUUCAUUGUAUUCAUUUGAGUACAUGGGACAAUAAAGCUAAUUCUGAUUCUGAAAGAA